UGGGGAAUAUUGCACAAUGGGGGAAACCCUGAUGCAGCGACGCCGCGUGAGUGAAGAAGUAUUUCGGUAUGUAAAGCUCUAUCAGCAGGAACGAGACAAGACGGUACCUGACUAAGAAGCCCCGGCUAACUACGUGCCAGCAGCCGCGGUAAUACGUAGGGGGCAAGCGUUAUCCGGAAUCACUGGGUGUAAAGGGAGCGUAGACGGCUGUGCAAGCCUGAAGUGAAAGGCGGGGGCCCAACCCCUGGACUGCUUUGGGAACUGUACGGCUGGAGUGCAGGAGAGGUAAGUGGAAUUCCUAGU
rnacentral:rRNA from 1 species